rnacentral:rRNA from 1 species
UGGGGAAUUUUGGACAAUGGGCGAAAGCCUGAUCCAGCAAUGCCGCGUGUGUGAAGAAGGCCUUCGGGUUGUAAAGCACUUUUGUCCGGAAAGAAAUGGCUCUGGUUAAUACCUGGGGUCGAUGACGGUACCGGAAGAAUAAGGACCGGCUAACUACGUGCCAGCAGCCGCGGUAAUACGUAGGGUCCAAGCGUUAAUCGGAAUUACUGGGCGUAAAGCGUGCGCAGGCGGUUGUGCAAGACCGAUGUGAAAUCCCCGAGCUUAACUUGGGAAUUGCAUUGGUGACUGCACGGCUAGAGUGUGUCAGAGGGGGGUAGAAUUCCACGUGUAGCAGUGAAAUGCGUAGAGAUGUGGAGGAAUACCGAUGGCGAAGGCAGCCCCCUGGGAUAACACUGACGCUCAUGCACGAAAGCGUGGGGAGCAAACAGGAUUAGAUACCCUGGUAGUCCACGCCCUAAACGAUGUCAACUAGUUGUUGGGGAUUCAUUUCCUUAGUAACGUAGCUAACGCGUGAAGUUGACCGCCUGGGGAGUACGGUCGCAAGAUUAAAACUCAAAGGAAUUGACGGGGUCAUAGCUGUUU